UUUUUUUCAAAUAGAUAUCUAGUGGUAUAAUAUACAGUAGAGUGUCUGGGUAUUGUUUCAAAACGUGACGUCUCAUCAACACUUUAUUUUUCAGAGGACGCGUGUAUUUGAGCCGACAUGAGGCCUGCUGACUGCAUUCCAUACACGUAAAGCACAACUCUUAAGGUUGACCUUUGAAAGAAGGCUUGAUUGCAGAGUUGAAAGCCACGAGGGUACCCGCAGUCCGGGACAAUCAUGAGCGAGUCUCGGUUAGAAAGGAGACCGGCAUGUGUUUAUUUUAUUGGAAAUUGCCUAGACGCAUCCUUCAGGUUUGUAUAAUUUCAUAUAAUCGUGGUGGUAAAAUUUGACAUGAAAUAAAAGGUUUUUGUAAAACA